GAAUGGAACUUCGCUCUCACCCUUUGUGAACAUACCUAUAACUGUUGCUUCGGCGGGUAGGGUCUCCGUGACCCUCCCGGCCUCCCGCCCCCGGGCGGGUCGGCGCCCGCCGGAGGAUAACCAAACUCUGAUUUAACGACGUUUCUUCUGAGUGGUACAAGCAAAUAAUCAAAACUUUUAACAACGGAUCUCUUGGUUCUGGCAUCGAUGAAGAACGCAGCGAAAUGCGAUAAGUAAUGUGAAUUGCAGAAUUCAGUGAAUCAUCGAAUCUUUGAACGCACAUUGCGCCCGCCAGCAUUCUGGCGGGCAUGCCUGUUCGAGCGUCAUUUCAACCCUCAAGCUCUGCUUGGUGUUGGGGCCCUACAGCUGAUGUAGGCCCUCAAAGGUAGUGGCGGACCCUCCCGGAGCCUCCUUUGCGUAGUAACUUUACGUCUCGCACUGGGAUCCGGAGGGACUCUUGCCGUAAAACCCCCAAUUUUCCAAAGGUUGACCUCGGAUCAGGAGGAAA
rnacentral:rRNA from 1 species